rnacentral:rRNA from 1 species
GGUCAAGCUACAAAGGGCUCACGGCGGAUACCUUGGCACACAGAGGCGAUGAAGGACGUGGUUACCUGCGAUAAGUCUCGGGGAGCUGGAAGCACGCUUUGAUCCGGGAAUUUCCGAAUGGGGCAACCCCUAGUACGGCCAGCUGAAUCCAUAGGCUGGUGCGAGCCAA